GGCGUGCCUAACACAUGCAAGUCGAGCGAGAAAGUCCGCAAGGAUGAGUACAGCGGCGCACGGGUGCGUAACACGUGGGUAAUCUGCCCUGGAGCCCGGAAUAACCUCCCGAAAGGGAUGCUAAUGCCGGAUGAGACCACGGGAGCUUCGGCUCCUGCGGGAAAAGAUGGCCUCUGCAUGCAAGCUAUCACUCCUGGAUGAGCCCGCGGCCCAUCAGCUCGUUGGCGGGGUAACGGCCCACCAAGGCUACGACGGGUAGCUGGUCUGAGAGGACGAUCAGCCACACUGGAACUGAGACACGGUCCAGACUCCUACGGGAGGCAGCAGUGGGGAAUCUUGCGCAAUGGGCGAAAGCCUGACGCAGCAACGCCGCGUGUGUGAUGAAGGUCUUCGGAUCGUAAAGCACUGUCGGGAGGGAAGAACCAGCCCGUGGCCAAUAUCCACGGGCCUUGACGGUACCUCCAAAGGAAGCACCGGCUAACUCUGUGCCAGCAGCCGCGGUAA
rnacentral:rRNA from 1 species